GCAUAAUGACAUCAACCUACAGACUAGGUUACCAAGUAAACCAGGCUGACCUCAAGCUUUUCCUUCUCCUUCCCGGUCAUUCACUGAUGGGAUACAUCGUUUUGUUUGCUCUUUCUCUCAUGUCUACUGGCCACACAGAAUGACUUGGAAGUGGACACUCACUGCUUACUUUUUUGAGAGGAGGAAAGCAAAUGUGUGUACAAACUCGGACCAGACAAAAAGUGUGAUUACCCCUAAGUCAUGCAGUUUCCAGUUCCAGUCUUCUUUGAAGUCUACACCCUUUCUGCCACGUGGGGCCUGGAGCCCUGUUUCACCAGCAUCCACAUGAUGGAGAAUUAAAAGAAUGAGAAGCAGUUGAUUCCAGCUCUGCAGCUUUUAAAAUGGAGAUUCAGGAAAGCUUUUCAACUUUUGUGAUUUGGAAGAAGAUGCCAGUGACUGUUUUAGUAGUCACUCUCAACAGAUAUUACCCCUGCAUCCUAACGAAGAGAAUCAUGGAGCGUUGCCUGACUGUAACUGCUUCAUAUCAGGAGACAUUUGGAUAAUGUCAUUCACAAAGUUUGUUGUUUUGUUUGUUUGAAGGUCUGUUCACUCAAGUAAAUGUGAAACUUAAAAUAUUUGAAGCCCUGUGGAAAUGACCUAGCAGAGACAAACAGUGGAUGGCAACGCAGGAGGAGAUUACUGAAGCUGAAAAUCCUUGAGAAAGUGAGAGACCUGCAGCAAAAACUUGUGCAUGGAGACAAUUUUUGCAAGAUCCACCUCUGGAAGCAAAGGGAGGUUUGAGGAGAAAAGAAGGGUGCCUUCAAAGUGAGGAUAUCAAGUUGCUUGGUACGAGUCAGUAGUAUUGUGCUGUGCAACCAACAAGAGACUAAAGAAGUGUCUUCUGUGAAGAUAAUAAGGUCUUGCAGCUAAGAACAGAAAUGGUGACUAAGGUUACCGGAAGCGUAGUCGAACAAGCGGUAAAACAAGCUUAGGAGGACGCAUCCAGAGGCUGCUGAAGUACUCAGAAUAUAAAACAGAAAGAGCAAAGGGUCUCUUUAUUAGGCAUGGAAAGAAGAUACUAUUGUGGAUAUGAAUUCUGACUGACUGUCGACUCAUGUCGUUCAUGUCCUUAUAGCCAAACCACGGUCGACAUAGAGCCUGUGUUCAUGUUGUUAUACCCAAACCACCAUAACAGCAUGCCAGCACUGAAAAUGAAAGCAUGGGCCAGGGAAAAUAGACUGUAAUAAAAAGAAGGAAAAAAUGUUGAGAAGCUAGAGCUUUGUUAAUUCUUACUGAAGGGAUUCUGUG
ensembl:lncRNA